AUCCAUGCUACUUGCUCCUAUUUAGAGUAGGGCUUUUGUCCCUCUCCCACUGCAUUCUCGAUUCCGUCACUCCACCCAAUAAGGGACAGAUUCGACAGAAUAGACUUGAAUCUCUCUGCCUCAUCACCCUACACCUCCCUCUCUCUCCCCGCUUCCACCCAUACAUCUCGUGUGAUGGGAGAUAGAAUCCCACCUGGUAGUUACUUCCAUUAUCCUCCUGGACUCCCUGCUUCUCCUAUCAGGUCUUCUACCCUUCCUUCAGAUCGAGAAAGAUACUUGGCUGAAUUACUGGCGGAGAAACAAAAUUUGGGACCAUUUUUGCAAGUUCUUCCCUUGUGUAGCAGACUUCUAAAUCAAGAAAUCAGACGGGUUUCCAGCUUCAAUCAAAGUUUUGUGGGUCAUGAAAGACUUGAGCAUGAGAACCCACUUAGGUCAAUAGGUCAACCCCUUAAUGGUAGAGCAAUGGAUUUAGAAGGAUGGCCCGCAAUGCACGUGGAGGAAAAUGGACAAGUUCAAAGAAUGGCCCCGGUUCAAAAUUCUCCAAUCGGUUGGCCUGGGUUGCGAGGAGUUCCAACCACUCCUAUUGUGAAGAGAGUUAUUAGACUUGAUGUUCCUGUGGAGAAAUAUCCAAAUUAUAAUUUUGUUGGUCGAAUUCUGGGACCACGUGGGAACUCACUGAAAAGAGUUGAAGCCAUGACAGAAUGUAGGGUGUACAUAAGAGGAAGGGGCUCUGUUAAGGAUUCUUUAAAGGAAGAGAAACUGAAGGAUAAACCGGGGUACGAGCACCUUAAUGAGCCACUGCAUGUGUUGGUGGAGGCUGAGUUUCCAGAAGAUAUUAUAAAUGCCCGCUUGGAUUAUGCAGUGACAAUAUUAGAGAAACUUUUGAAGCCUGUGGAUGAGUCCUUGGAUCAUUAUAAGAAGCAACAAUUAAGGGAGCUGGCUAUGUUGAAUGGCACUCUAAGAGAAGAAAGCCCUAGCAUGAGCCCAAGCAUGAGCCCAAGCAUGUCACCUUUUAACAGUACUGGAAUGAAAAGAGCAAAGACAGGAAGAUAACCAGAAAAUAUUGAUGAUGUGACCUUGUUUAGUUAGUUUGGUGAAUGCAUGCGAUUGGUAUUGGCCUGAUGGCAGAACCUUGGGAUGGGAAGCUGACCGGCUACUUGAACUCCUGAGGCAAAGCUCAAUAUGAAUUCCGAAAGUGUUCCAUUAGCGUGGUGAAAUCAGGUCGGAUGCAUGACAAGAACUUGUUCGCCAGUGCAAACGUUUACUUGUCUAUGUCUAUACCGACGUACACGCUCACACCCUUCCCAGUAGAUUGCGACAUCUCUAGAAUUAGCAGUGACUCAGCUGAAAUUGAGCGUCUCAACGGGGCAAAUUUCUGAUAAAAACAUGUCUCAAGUUUUUUUUUUCAAAAUUAAUGUGCCGCCUGAAUUAUGCAAGCCCUGCCUCAAGCUUAAAGAGUUAAUCAUGUUUCAUGAUGAUCCA